GGUAAGGGCCUACUUAGACGAAGACGGGUACGGGGAAUUAUCGUUUGAUUCCGGAGAGGGAGCCUGAGAGACGGCUACGAGUUCCAAGGACAACAGCAGGCGCGAAAAUUACCGCAGCCUGCGAUCAGGGCGGUAGUAAGGAGACGUGAUGACGAAGUGCUGAUAAAAGCUGCACUAGUGACAGGAGGAAAAGACUGGUGCCAGCACCCGCGUAAUACCAGCUCCUGGAGUGUCUAUGAUGAUUGCUGCAGUUAAAGAGUUCGUAGCCGAGGCAUUAUUUAACUGCGUUAAAGGGGAUAUCUCAAUUAUCCCUGUGCGCAGUGAUUUUACAGAAUAAGGAGUGCUUAGGGGCCAGAGUAUCAUACGGCGACUGGUGAAAUGGGAUGACCCGUGUGGGAGUAACAGAGGCGAAAGCGCUGGUCAGGGGCGAGUCCGAUGGUAAAGGACGUAGGCUAGAGGAUCGAAGACGAUUAGAGACCGUUGUAGUUCUAGCAGUAAACGAUGCCGAUGUCGUGGUGCCGAAUAAUGGCGACGCGAAAGAGAAAUCGAGUAGGGCCCUGGGGAGAGUACACGCGCAAGCGAGAAAUUUAAAGGAAAUUGACGGAAGAACACCACAAGGAGUGGAGUGUGCGGCUUAAUUUGACUCAACGCGGGACAACUUACCGGGCCCGACGACCGUAUGAGUGUAACACACGAUAGGUCGAAGAGUGGUGCAUGGCCGUUAACGACGAGUGGAGUGAUCUUUGGGUUAAGUCCGUAAAUUAGUGAGACCUCAGCCGUAAGGGACAGGUGCGCAAAGCACAGGAAGGAUGGGUCAAGGACAGGUCAGUGAUGCCCUUAGAUGGUCCGGGCUGCACGCGCACUACAGUGGUCGCCGAAAUUACCUGAUAAUUUUAAAGGCGAUCGAGAGGAAAUGAGCUUUGUAAGAGGCUCAGGAACGAGGAAUUGCUAGUAAUCGCGGACUCAUUAAGACGC
rnacentral:rRNA from 1 species